rnacentral:lncRNA from 1 species
CUGCACAAGCCCAUUCCAAUAAAAAGUGAUAACUAGAAAAAACCUUUGAAUGGCAUGAUAAGAUUGGAUAACUAAUUGUUUAACCGAUGAUGAAAGAUGACAUUUAAAGUUUCCAUUGAUGUCUUCCUCAAAACUAUUUUUCUUUCAAUUGAGAACGAAACGAAGCAUCUAUCCUCUGCUCAUACAAAGGGAUAAAAGCUGAGAAGCAUCCAUAUGAUCAUCGUUUGAGUUCGUCUUUCAUAGUAGACUAUGGAACAUUACAAAUAUACAAGAAAGAUUCAUAUUCAAGAUUCCUAUCUUACUCAAUACUCAUUCUGCAGGAUGGAAGAGGCUGAACUCGGCAGAUACAUCACAAACUAUCAAUUUGCCUUUGCACCUUAUCAAACCACCCACAUUUUUGAAAUCGCGCAUUUAAUCAAUGCUUAUUAUCAUUCAAAACAUGCCGACUGGGAAAAUAUUACGGAUAAAAAAUUCCUAACAUUCUCA